GAGUUUGAUCAUGGCUCAGAUUGAACGCUGGCGGCAUGCCUUACACAUGCAAGUCGAACGGCAGCAUGAUCUAGCUUGCUAGAUUGAUGGCGAGUGGCGAACGGGUGAGUAAUACAUCGGAACGUGCCCUGUAGUGGGGGAUAACUAGACGAAAGAUUAGCUAAUACCGCAUACGACCUGAGGGUGAAAGUGGGGGACCGCAAGGCCUCAUGCUAUAGGAGCGGCCGAUGUCUGAUUAGCUAGUUGGUGGGGUAAAGGCCCACCAAGGCGACGAUCAGUAGCUGGUCUGAGAGGACGAUCAGCCACACUGGGACUGAGACACGGCCCAGACUCCUACGGGAGGCAGCAGUGGGGAAUUUUGGACAAUGGGCGAAAGCCUGAUCCAGCAAUGCCGCGUGUGUGAAGAAGGCC
rnacentral:rRNA from 1 species